GGUUAAGCGACUAAGCGUACACGGUGGAUGCCCUGGCAGUCAGAGGCGAUGAAGGGCGUGCUAAUCUGCGAUAAGCGCCGGUAAGGUGAUAUGAACCGUUAUAACCGGCGAUACCCGAAUGGGGAAACCCAGUGUGACUCGUCACACUAUCAUUAACUGAAUCCAUAGGUUAAUGAGGCGAACCGGGGGAACUGAAACAUCUAAGUACCCCGAGGAAAAGAAAUCAACCGAGAUUCCCCCAGUAGCGGCGAGCGAACGGGGAGGAGCCCAGAGCCUGAAUCAGCAUGUGUGUUAGUGGAAGCGUCUGGAAAGGCGCGCGAUACAGGGUGACAGCCCCGUACACAAAAGCGCAUGUGCUGUGAGCUCGAUGAGUAGGGCGGGACACGUGGUAUCCUGUCUGAAUAUGGGGGGACCAUCCUCCAAGGCUAAAUACUCCUGACUGACCGAUAGUGAACCAGUACCGUGAGGGAAAGGCGAAAAGAACCCCGGCGAGGGGAGUGAAAAAGAACCUGAAACCGUGUACGUACAAGCAGUGGGAGCACCCUUUGGGGUGUGACUGCGUACCUUUUGUAUAAUGGGUCAGCGACUUAUAUUCUGUAGCAAGGUUAACCGAAUAGGGGAGCCGGAGGGAAACCGAGUCUUAAUUGGGCGUUAAGUUGCAGGGUAUAGACCCGAAACCCGGUGAUCUAGCCAUGGGCAGGUUGAAGGUUGGGUAACACUAACUGGAGGACCGAACCGACUAAUGUUGAAAAAUUAGCGGAUGACCUGUGGCUGGGGGUGAAAGGCCAAUCAAACCGGGAGAUAGCUGGUUCUCCCCGAAAGCUAUUUAGGUAGCGCCUCGUGAAUUCAUCUCCGGGGGUAGAGCACUGUUUCGGCUAGGGGGCCAUCCCGGCUUACCAACCCGAUGCAAACUGCGAAUACCGGAGAAUGUUAUCACGGGAGACACACGGCGGGUGCUAACGUCCGUCGUGAAGAGGGAAACAACCCAGACCGCCAGCUAAGGUCCCAAAGUCAUGGUUAAGUGGGAAACGAUGUGGGAAGGCCCAGACAGCCAGGAUGUUGGCUUAGAAGCAGCCAUCAUUUAAAGAAAGCGUAAUAGCUCACUGGUCGAGUCGGCCUGCGCGGAAGAUGUAACGGGGCUAAACCAUGCACCGAAGCUGCGGCAGCGAACGUAUCACUUAAAGCGAUUCAGCGGGUUACGAUUGACGGAGCGAAGCGACGUCAAAGCGUAUACAAAGUCGAGUCGGUUUAAGGAUACGUUCGUUGGGUAGGGGAGCGUUCUGUAAGCCUGUGAAGGUGGCCUGUGAGGGUUGCUGGAGGUAUCAGAAGUGCGAAUGCUGACAUAAGUAACGAUAAAGCGGGUGAAAAGCCCGCUCGCCGGAAGACCAAGGGUUCCUGUCCAACGUUAAUCGGGGCAGGGUGAGUCGACCCCUAAGGCGAGGCCGAAAGGCGUAGUCGAUGGGAAACGGGUUAAUAUUCCCGUACUUGGUGUUACUGCGAAGGGGGGACGGAGAAGGCUAUGUUGGCCGGGCGACGGUUGUCCCGGUUUAAGCGUGUAGGUGUGUGUUCCAGGUAAAUCCGGUUCACUUUAACACUGAGGCGUGACGACGAGGCACUACGGUGCUGAAGCAACAAAUGCCCUGCUUCCAGGAAAAGCCUCUAAGCAUCAGGUAACAUCAAAUCGUACCCCAAACCGACACAGGUGGUCAGGUAGAGAAUACCAAGGCGCUUGAGAGAACUCGGGUGAAGGAACUAGGCAAAAUGGUGCCGUAACUUCGGGAGAAGGCACGCUGACACGUAGGUGAAGUGAUUUACUCACGGAGCUGAAGUCAGUCGAAGAUACCAGCUGGCUGCAACUGUUUAUUAAAAACACAGCACUGUGCAAACACGAAAGUGGACGUAUACGGUGUGACGCCUGCCCGGUGCCGGAAGGUUAAUUGAUGGGGUCAGCGCAAGCGAAGCUCCUGAUCGAAGCCCCGGUAAACGGCGGCCGUAACUAUAACGGUCCUAAGGUAGCGAAAUUCCUUGUCGGGUAAGUUCCGACCUGCACGAAUGGCGUAAUGAUGGCCAGGCUGUCUCCACCCGAGACUCAGUGAAAUUGAACUCGCUGUGAAGAUGCAGUGUACCCGCGGCAAGACGGAAAGACCCCGUGAACCUUUACUAUAGCUUGACACUGAACAUUGAGCCUUGAUGUGUAGGAUAGGUGGGAGGCUUUGAAGUGUGGACGCCAGUCUGCAUGGAGCCGACCUUGAAAUACCACCCUUUAAUGUUUGAUGUUCUAACGUGGACCCGUAAUCCGGGUUGCGGACAGUGUCUGGUGGGUAGUUUGACUGGGGCGGUCUCCUCCUAAAGAGUAACGGAGGAGCACGAAGGUUGGCUAAUCCUGGUCGGACAUCAGGAGGUUAGUGCAAUGGCAUAAGCCAGCUUGACUGCGAGCGUGACGGCGCGAGCAGGUGCGAAAGCAGGUCAUAGUGAUCCGGUGGUUCUGAAUGGAAGGGCCAUCGCUCAACGGAUAAAAGGUACUCCGGGGAUAACAGGCUGAUACCGCCCAAGAGUUCAUAUCGACGGCGGUGUUUGGCACCUCGAUGUCGGCUCAUCACAUCCUGGGGCUGAAGUAGGUCCCAAGGGUAUGGCUGUUCGCCAUUUAAAGUGGUACGCGAGCUGGGUUUAGAACGUCGUGAGACAGUUCGGUCCCUAUCUGCCGUGGGCGCUGGAGAACUGAGGGGGGCUGCUCCUAGUACGAGAGGACCGGAGUGGACGCAUCACUGGUGUUCGGGUUGUCAUGCCAAUGGCACUGCCCGGUAGCUAAAUGCGGAAGAGAUAAGUGCUGAAAGCAUCUAAGCACGAAACUUGCCCCGAGAUGAGUUCUCCCUGAGACUUUAGGUCUCCUGAAGGAACGUUGAAGACGACGACGUUGAUAGGCCGGGUGUGUAAGCGCAGCGAUGCGUUGAGCUAACCGGUACUAAUGAACCGUGAGGCUUAACCUU
rnacentral:rRNA from 1 species